CACGUAGGGGGCGAGCGUUGUCCGGAUUUAUUGGGCGUAAAGAGCUCGUAGGCGGCUCAGUAAGUCGGGUGUGAAAACUCCAGGCUCAACCUGGAGACGCCACCUGAUACUGCUGUGGCUAGAGUCCGGUAGGGGAGCAUGGAAUUCCUGGUGUAGCGGUGAAAUGCGCAGAUAUCAGGAGGAACACCGGUGGCGAAGGCGGGUCUCUGGGCAGUAACUGACGCUGAGGAGCGAAAGCGUGGGGAGCGAACAGG
rnacentral:rRNA from 1 species